rnacentral:lncRNA from 1 species
UUUUUGAAAUACUAAGGCUUUUCUACCUCAGGCAUAGAUUAACUUAGCUGUAUUUGGCAAGACUUUUUGACUAUCCCUUUGGUAUCUUUCGUCCCUCUUUUAGGAAUUUUGGUCCUCAGUGCUCUUCAACUUCGUACUUUAUUUGGCCUUUUUAACUUUUUUGGAUUCGAGCGUCACUGAUGAGUCAUUUGUAGACGAAACGCGCGUCUGGCGUAUAUACUAAAUUUAGUCCUAGUAUCUAUGAUGAGUUUAUCUACAUGAAUUUCUGUAACGGAAACUCAAAUGAGGCAGUUGCAGAUUUUUUUCUUCAUUUAAUGUUUGAACAAGUAGCUUUUCUUAUACACCACUCAGUCUGGUGUGGGUUCUAGUUAUAUUUGAAAAAAAUGUUUAAGUAUGUCAGUUGUUGGUACAUUAAAACCAAUAAAACGAAGUGCUCCGUGUAGAAUUGGUACUAGAGCUUAGGAAUCGAGUGAGGUAGUUACGGAAAGUCUGUUGAAUAUUGGUUGAAAUUCCUCGUUAAGAUAGAAUAUGUUAGAUUUGCUCACUUAUAACGGUUGAAGACGAAGCUCAUUUCUAUCAACAUACCUCCUGUACAAUACAUUUAUAGCAACUAUUUAUCAAUAACAUUUUUAAUAAGUUUCAUAACUUGAGUAAAUUUCAUAACUUUUUUUUAUUGAUCUGGA